AGCCGCCUUUGCCUCCCAACUUUCUUCCCUCGUCCGUUUCCCUCUCUGACGCCGCCGCCCGCCACCGACCUCCUCCAUGGCACGGCGCCCGACACUACUGCCGCCGAGGCUGCUGGUUGCGAGGGCGAUGGUGUUGUCGCUCUUCGGCCAUGUUGAGCCAGCGCCCAAGGACUGAAGGACCCCAUCCUCAGCGUCACCGAGGCUUUCCUCGUGAACCCCUCGCCUGACAAAGUCGACGUCAGCGCCGAGGGAAAAUGACAUUUUGAGGCUAUUUGUAGUUAAACAUUAUUGGUUGAGCCAGCAAACUUGGGAGAGUAAAGGACAACAAAUGAGAGAGGAAGAGAGCCGAGUGAUGAGGCCUCUAUCCCCUUUUAUAGAGGAGGAGCGAGGAAAUGUUCUCUUUAUUUUGCAUAGUGGAGAUGAUAUUUACAAAAAUGACAUUAGGGGACCCCAGUGGGGUUCGUAUUUAUAAAGAUGUCACAAAAGGCUACAAAUAGCCUCCAAAUAUUA